rnacentral:rRNA from 1 species
UACAGAGGGGGCAAGCGUUAUUCGGAAUCACUGGGCGUAAAGGGCGCGUAGGCGGCCCUUCUUGUCGCGUGUGAAAGCCCCGGGCUCAACCUGGGAAUGGCGCGCGAGACGGGGGGGCUGGAGUUCGGGAGAGGAGCGUGGAAUUCCCAGUGUAGAGGUGAAAUUCGUAGAUAUUGGGAAGAACACCGGUGGCGAAGGCGGCGCUCUGGACCGAGACUGACGCUGAGGCGCGAAAGCGUGGGGAGCAAACGGG